GAUGAACGCUAGCUACAGGCUUAACACAUGCAAGUCGAGGGGAAACGGCAUCGAAAGCUUGCUUUUGAUGGGCGUCGACCGGCGCACGGGUGAGUAACGCGUAUCCAACCUGCCCAUCACUUGUGAAUAACCUUGCGAAUGUAAGACUAAUGCCCAAUGACCUCCCACGAAGGCAUCCGAAUGGGAUUAAAGAUUUAUCGGUGAUGGAUGGGGAUGCGUCUGAUUAGCUUGUUGGCGAGGUGACGGCCCACCAAGGCAACGAUCAGUAGGGGUUCUGAGAGGAAGGUCCCUCACAUUGGAACUGAGCCACGGUCCACACUCCUACGGGAGGCAGCAGUGCGGAAUAUUGGUCAAUGGGCGAGAGCCUGAACCAGCCAAGUAGCGUGCAGGAUGACGGCCCUAUGGGUUGUAACCUGCUUUUAUAAGGGAAUAAAGUGGGUCACGUGUGACUUUUUGCAUGUACCUUAUGAAUAAGGACCGGCUAAUUCCGUG
rnacentral:rRNA from 1 species